rnacentral:rRNA from 1 species
UACCCGCAGCACAAGUGGUGGUCAUUAUUAUUGGGCCUAAAGCGUCCGUAGCAUGUUUGUUAAAUGCCUGGGUAAAUCGAUGCGCUCAACGUAUCGAAUUCCGGGUAGACUGGCAAACUCGAGACCGGGAGAGGUGUAGGCUACUCGAGGGGUAGGGGUAAAAUCCUGUAAUCCUUCGGGGAGGACCAGUGGCGAAGGCGCUACACUAGAACGGCUCUGACUGUGAGGGACGAAGCCCUGGGGCGCAAACCGG